GUUUAUGGCCAUACCACCGUGAACACGCCUGAUUGCAUCUGAUCUCAGAAGCUAAGCAGAGUCGGACCUGGUUAGUACUGGGAUGGAAAAAACAUUUAAACCACUAGGCUGAGUACCAACCGAAUGCCAGGUGAACG
ensembl:rRNA 5S_rRNA 5S ribosomal RNA